rnacentral:rRNA from 1 species
UGAGGAAUUUUGCGCAAUGGGGGCAACCCUGACGCAGCAACGCCGCGUGAGUGAUGAAGGCUUUCGGGUCGUAAAGCUCUGUCGGGCGGGAAGAAAUGGUGCUGGUUAAUAGCCAGUAUUUUGACGGUACCGCCAAAGGAAGCACCGGCUAACUCCGUGCCAGCAGCCGCGGUAAUACGGGGGGUGCAAGCGUUAUUCGGAAUUAUUGGGCGUAAAGGGUGCGUAGGCGGUUUUGUAAGUCAGAUGUGAAAUACCGGGGCUUAACUUCGGAACUGCAUUUGAUACUGCGAGACUUGAGUAUGGGAGAGGAGAGCGGAAUUCCUGGUGUAGAGGUGAAAUUCGUAGAUAUCAGGAGGAACACCGGUGGCGAAGGCGGCUCUCUGGACCAAUACUGACGCUG